CCAAACAGAAAAUGAUGACGCCUGCUGCUACCACGCCGUGUGCUGGCCCUUAUGAGCGAUGACUGGUGAUGCUAUAUCCUUAGGCGGAAGCGGUACCCCCGCCGUGCUCAGCAACCUUCGCCAGGAGGUCGUCCUUCCUGGCGCCGACAAUUUUGUGGACUUCCUUGCCCUCCUUGAUGAGGAGGAAGGUCGGCAUCGCCUCGACCUUGUAUUCAGCGGCGACUUCCUGUUGAACAAGGAAACAGCGUUAGUACGACGUUACAGGGCAAGGGCAAGUGUUUUGGAGAACUAUCGGUACACCGUGCUCACCUUCAGCUCGUCAACGUCCACCUUGAGGAAGACAACGUGGGGAUAACUCUUGGCGAGUUCAGCAAAAACUGGGGCAAUGAUGCGGCAAGGACCACACCAGGAGGCAGUGAAGUCGAUGACCACCUGGGGUGCAAAAAAGUUGACAAAUGCCCCAAA
rnacentral:lncRNA from 1 species